GCAGCUGUCUUUGUCUGGGGUGGCGGCAGCGUGGCAGGAGCGAGGGGCGCCCCGACCCGUCCCCUCCGCCCUCCAAGACCCCUGCCGACUCCAGCCCGUCCCUGUCUCACCCUCUUUAUUUAACAAAGAGCGGAGAGACUGUAAAUGACCCUGAGCAGCGUCGCGGCGAGCAGGGCCCCUGGGACACCCCACAGGCGUCAUCCUGGCCGCGUGAGCGCCGAGCUCGGGCACCGGGUGGUUUGGCGUGCUUGUGCACUUGCUCCGUUUUCUCUAAACUGCCGCGAUGAAUGUCAGUCCCCAGAGCAGGAACCGUUCCCGGUUUUCUCCACUUGGAUCUGAGAACUCUGACCCUCCAGCCCGGCGAGCUCUUUGCCAGGGUGACAGGAGGAAAUGUCCCCGCAUCCGUGCCUGCUUUCCCAGAUGGGACCCUCCAGCAGUCCCCUCCACUGCCCUUGCUUCCUUCUAACCACUUCCCCCCAGCGACCGCGGAAGGCGCUUCCUCCCCCGCAGCGCGAGCCCCAAGCUCCUCUAGCGCCCCAGCUCUCCCCGCCCCCCUCCCGACCUUGUUUCAUAUGACCCCUCCCCCGCACAUACUCAAUUUCAUCUUCCCAAGGCGCCCACUCUCCACAUCCUGAGGAAAAAAAGAGCCGGCUGCUGUUCUAUGUUAUUGUCAUACUUCUUUCCUCCCGAGCACUACACAACUUGA